ensembl:snRNA U1 U1 spliceosomal RNA
AUACUUACCUGGCAGGGGAGAUACCAUGAUCAUGAAGGUGGUUUUCCCAGGGCGAGGCUUAUCCAUUGCCCUCUGGAUGUGCUGACCCCUGCGAUUUCCCCAAAUGUGGGAAACUCGACUGCACAAUUUGUGGUAGUGGGGGACUGCGUUCGCGCUUUCCCCUG